rnacentral:pre_miRNA from 1 species
CUUAUACUCCCUCCGUCCGGAAAUACUUGUCCUAAAAAUGGAUAAAAUGGACAACCAUUUCUAGGGACAAGUAUUUCCAGACGGGGGGAGUAUUUA